rnacentral:tmRNA from 1 species
GGGGAUGUAAAGGUUUCGACGGGGGCUGUGAGUCCGGGUAAGCGAGCAGCGGGGCGGGACCGCUUCAUCAAUCCGCACCUUUAAAUUUAGAUGAGAAAUCUUCUAAGAACAACAGCAAUAUCGUGAACGUUAACUUCAACAACAAUUACGGGAUGGCUGUUGCAGCUUAAAGAAAAGCUGCCGUCUGCGCCGUGAGGACCGCGGCACGGUUGCAGGCGUAACCUCAGCGGUGAACGUGAACCAGGCGAUGCCUUUAACCUGGUCAUGACCCAAAGGCUCCCUGUGCAGCGAGCCUGCCUAUGGGCGCACGGCACAGGUAAAAUAAAACACAGGAUACGCUCGUAGAAAGCCCGGGUGACCGGCUUUCGGACAGGGGUUCGAUUCCCCUCAUCUCCACCA